UCUGAUCAUCCCAGGUUGGACACAGAAGACACACAGGACUGAGGGGACACAGAAAAUCCUGCUGGAAGUCCAUAGAAGAAGUUUCCUGGUGGAACAGGGGGACAGCUGAGGACACAGAAUAAGGAGACAGAGAUCAUGUGAAGUUGGAUCUCCUCAGCCUGUAAACCUCCACCUUCAACACCACCAGUCAGGUGGAGGAAGAUAAGAGAACCCAGUUGAC